rnacentral:rRNA from 1 species
CUUGGUCAUUUAGAGGAAGUAAAAGUCGUAACAAGGUUUCCGUAGGUGAACCUGCGGAAGGAUCAUUAACGAGUAAACAGGGGAGUUGUAGCUGGCCGCAAGGCAUGUGCACGCUCCCUACUCAAUCCCACCUUACACCUGUGCAUCUAUUGUAGGUCGGGUGGCUUGGCUCCAUGUCAGGCUGUCCUUCCUAUGUCUACACAUACACUUUAUAGUUUCAGAAUGUAAACCUGCGUAUAACGCAUCUAUAAACAACUUUCAACAACGGAUCUCUUGGCUCUCGCAUCGAUGAAGAACGCAGCGAAAUGCGAUAAGUAAUGUGAAUUGCAGAAUUCAGUGAAUCAUCGAAUCUUUGAACGCACCUUGCACUCCUUGGUAUUCCGAGGAGUAUGCCUGUUUGAGUGUCAUGAAUAUCUCAACUCACCCGGUUUUUGUAAAUUGUGGUGGGCUUGGACUUGGAGGUAUGCUGGCUUUACUAGUCGGCUCCUCUUUAAAUGUAUUAGCUGGACCCGUUACGGAUCAGUACUCGGUGUGAUAAUUGUCUACGCCGUGUCUGUGAAGUGCCUUAGUGGAUCAGCUGCUAAUCGUCUUCGGACAAUUUGACAUUUUGACCUCAAAUCAGGUAGGAUUACCCGCUGAACUUAAGCAUAUCAAUAAGCGGAGGAAAAGAAACUAACAAGGAUUCCCCUAGUAACUGCGAGUGAAGCGGGAAGAGCUCAAAUUUAAAAUCUGGCGGUCUUUGGCCGUCCGAGUUGUAUUCUGGAGAAGUGCUUUCCGCGCUGGACCGUGUACAAGUCUCCUGUGGGCUUGGACUUGGAGGUAUGCUGGCUUUACUAGUCGGCUCCUCUUUAAAUGUAUUAGCUGGACCCGUUACGGAUCAGUACUCGGUGUGAUAAUUGUCUACGCCGUGUCUGUGAAGUGCCUUAGUGGAUCAGCUGCUAAUCGUCUUCGGACAAUUUGACAUUUUGACCUCAAAUCAGGUAGGAUUACCCGCUGAACUUAAGCAUAUCAAUAAGCGGAGGAAAAGAAACUAACAAGGAUUCCCCUAGUAACUGCGAGUGAAGCGGGAAGAGCUCAAAUUUAAAAUCUGGCGGUCUUUGGCCGUCCGAGUUGUAUUCUGGAGAAGUGCUUUCCGCGCUGGACCGUGUACAAGUCUCCUG